UAUGUCCAUAUCAUGUUGAAACCCUGGUUCCUGUAUGAUCACUGUAGUUAAGCAAAGCCAAGCCAGUUCAGUACCUUGAUGGGUGAAUGCUUGGGAAUACCAGGUGUUA